CAAAGAAAAUUGUUUUUUUUACAGCAAGAACAAUAAGGAUGUGGAAUUCUCUGCUUGAAGAGGUGGCUUAAUCAGAGUCUGUACAGAUGUUUAAAGAGCAAUUGGUUAAAUACUUACAAAAACAGAAUAUUCAGGGAUAUCAUUUUUAAUUAGUGGGGUAAUAGCUUCUUGAUCCAAGUAGAUGUCUGACUGCCAUUCUGGGGUCAAGAAGGGAUUGUCUCCUAGUUUAUUGCAAAGUUGGAAAUGCUUUAAAUGUUUUUUUUAUUUUCUUUGGCUUCUUUUGGAUCAACAUCAAAAACAAAUGCGAGGAAGGCUAAACUUGAUGGACAAACUUUUCUUUUCAGCUAUGCAACUAUGAAACUUGGACCUCGAGAACUGGGGACCCUCUGACAUACCCCCAAACAAAUGCAGCCAGUACCUGGACAAAGCAGAGUUGUAAAUGCUUUGAAAUGAU